rnacentral:rRNA from 1 species
UACGUAGGGUCCGAGCGUUGUCCGGAUUCAUUGGGCGUAAAGGGUGCGUAGGUGGCAUGGUAAGUCGGAUGUGAAAUCCCGGGGCUCAACCCCGGAACUGCAUUCGAUACUGCUGAGCUAGAGUACUGGAGAGGAGAUUGGAAUUUACGGUGUAGCAGUGAAAUGCGUAGAUAUCGUAAGGAAGACCAGUGGCGAAGGCGGAUCUCUGGACAGUUACUGACACUGAGGCACGAAGGCCAGGGGAGCAAACGGG